GUGCGGUGGGUCAGAGCGGGAGAUUAGCAGCGCUUGCUUGACAUGCUAGAGGACGGCGGUUCGAUCCCGUCGCCGCCCACCA
rnacentral:tRNA from 1 species